GGGGUGCAUCAGAAUUCUGGAAGCCCAGAAGUCCAGGAAUUUGCCAUCCAGACGGUGAGACAUAUGCAUAGAGAAGUGCAGCACAGGCUGGGUGCAGUGGCUCACACCUGUAAUCCCAGCACUUUGGGAGGCCGAGGUGGGAGGAUCACUUGAGCCCAGGAGUUCAAGGCCAGCCUGAGCAACAGUCUCAAUAGUGACUGUCUCUAUUUAAAAAAAAAGAAAAAAGAAAGAAAGAAAGAAAGAGAGAAGUGGCUGGGCGCGGCAUAAUGCCAGCGAUGACAGCAACCACCCCCAGUGGUGCUGGCUGUCGUUGACUGUGGUUCACUGUGAGUGCCAAACACACAUGCUUUGCUGCAUUUACUCCUCCAGCCCCGGAGUUGCCACUGCUCCCAUUUCAGAGAUGGGGAAACCGUGGCAGGGAGACUUGCCCAUGGGCCCCCAGGCAGUAAGAGUAGGGCUGGAGGGAAGAAACUGGCAGGCUGGUUCCAGAGACCUCCCUCUUAGGUAUCACUGAGAGGGGCUUCCAGGCACCUCUGUGUGGUUGAACUUGCUGAUCUGUUCAAACUGCUGUCAUAUAAGGACGUUCAACUUGAUUUUCAGCAUCACCAGCAACCUUGCUGCUCCUUCCCCCUCUGGGCUAGUAGGGUGAGAGCUCUUCUCAGAGACAAAGACCAGGAUGCAGGAGCAGGCAUGGCUUGGCCUGCAGACAAGACUGGUAGGAGGAGGAGACCUGGACCCAGUUGCUCUAAAUCUAGCAAAAAGAUUUUCUAGGCCCUCCAGAGGCUACCUCCUCCCCUUAGCUCCCACUGCCUGCAGCCGCCUGCAAAUUGCUUAGAAGUGUUGAUAAUUACAGCAGGCCCAAUCCCAUCAACACCUGAGGGAGAGGAAACUGGAGGGUCCUCCUUCUGUAAGCUUAUCCCAGAGCCCACUGACAUCCAUCAUCUCCCCUGAUCCCCUAGGAUGGAGGCAGGAGGUGGGACAUGGUCCCUGUUCUCUUGAGCAGGCUAGUGACUUGCCCAAGGUCAU
rnacentral:lncRNA from 1 species